ensembl:rRNA 5S_rRNA 5S ribosomal RNA
GCUUACGGCCAUACCACUCUGAACACGCCCGAUCUCGUCCGAUCUCGGAAGCUAAGCAGGGUCGGGCCUGGUUAGUACUUGGAUGGGAGACCGCCUGGGAAUACCAGGUGCUGUAAGCU